AUGUUGUAUGAAAGGAGAGAAGGUUAGCACUCCCCUUGACAAGGAUGAAAGAGGCCCUUGGGCCUGACAACACCCAUACUCUUAAGGCAUUGCCACCUACUUCCUUAGGAAUCAACAAAACCAGUAUUUCU
rnacentral:ncRNA from 1 species